rnacentral:rRNA from 1 species
GGAAAACUAAGGCUGAGGCGUGAUGACGAGGCACUACGGUGCUGAAGCAACAAAUGCCCUGCUUCCAGGAAAAGCCUCUAAGCAUCAGGUAACAUCAAAUCGUACCCCAAACCGACACAGGUGGUCAGGUAGAGAAUACCAAGGCGCUUGAGAGAACUCGGGUGAAGGAACUAGGCAAAAUGGUGCCGUAACUUCGGGAGAAGGCACGCUGAUAUGUAGGUGAAGUCCCUCGCGGAUGGAGCUGAAAUCAGUCGAAGAUACCAGCUGGCUGCAACUGUUUAUUAAAAACACAGCACUGUGCAAACACGAAAGUGGACGUAUACGGUGUGACGCCUGCCCGGUGCCGGAAGGUUAAUUGAUGGGGUUAGCGCAAGCGAAGCUCUUGAUCGAAGCCCCGGUAAACGGCGGCCGUAACUAUAACGGUCCUAAGGUAGCGAAAUUCCUUGUCGGGUAAGUUCCGACCUGCACGAAUGGCGUAAUGAUGGCCAGGCUGUCUCCACCCGAGACUCAGUGAAAUUGAACUCGCUGUGAAGAUGCAGUGUACCCGCGGCAAGACGGAAAGACCCCGUGAACCUUUACUAUAGCUUGACACUGAACAUUGAGCCUUGAUGUGUAGGAUAGGUGGGAGGCUUUGAAGUGUGGACGCCAGUCUGCAUGGAGCCGACCUUGAAAUACCACCCUUUAAUGUUUGAUGUUCUAACGUUGACCCGUAAUCCGGGUUGCGGACAGUGUCUGGUGGGUAGUUUGACUGGGGCGGUCUCCUCCUAAAGAGUAACGGAGGAGCACGAAGGUUGGCUAAUCCUGGUCGGACAUCAGGAGGUUAGUGCAAUGGCAUAAGCCAGCUUGACUGCGAGCGUGACGGCGCGAGCAGGUGCGAAAGCAGGUCAUAGUGAUCCGGUGGUUCUGAAUGGAAGGGCCAUCGCUCAACGGAUAAAAGGUACUCCGGGGAUAACAGGCUGAUACCGCCCAAGAGUUCAUAUCGACGGCGGUGUUUGGCACCUCGAUGUCGGCUCAUCACAUCCUGGGGCUGAAGUAGGUCCCAAGGGUAUGGCUGUUCGCCAUUUAAAGUGGUACGCGAGCUGGGUUUAGAACGUCGUGAGACAGUUCGGUCCCUAUCUGCCGUGGGCGCUGGAGAACUGAGGGGGGCUGCUCCUAGUACGAGAGGACCGGAGUGGACGCAUCACUGGUGUUCGGGUUGUCAUGCCAAUGGCACUGCCCGGUAGCUAAAUGCGGAAGAGAUAAGUGCUGAAAGCAUCUAAGCACGAAACUUGCCCCGAGAUGAGUUCUCCCUGACUCCUUGAGAGUCCUGAAGGAACGUUGAAGACGACGACGUUGAUAGGCCGGGUGUGUAAGCGCAGCGAUGCGUUGAGCUAACCGGUACUAAUGAACCGUGAGG